AGGACGAACGCUGGCGGCGUGCUUAACACAUGCAAGUCGAACGAGGCCCUGCCUUCGGGCAGGUGACCUAGUGGCGAACGGGUGAGUAACACGUGGGCAACCUACCCUCAGCUCUGGGAUAACCCCGGGAAACCGGAGCUAAUACCGGGUAUGACCAAGAACGACAUCGUUCUUGGUGGAAAGUUUUUCGGCUGAGGAUGGGCCCGCGGCCUAUCAGCUUGUUGGUGAGGUAACGGCCCACCAAGGCGACGACGGGUA
rnacentral:rRNA from 1 species